UGACCACCUCAGCCGUUGCUUUUG
rnacentral:miRNA from 1 species